rnacentral:rRNA from 1 species
UACGUAUGGGGCAAGCGUUGUUCGGAAUUAUUGGGCGUAAAGGGCACGCAGGCGGAUAUAUAAGUCUGGUGUGAAAUCUAACAGCUUAACUGUUAAAUUGCACUGGAAACUGUAUGUCUUGAAUUGCAGAGGGGAGUUCGGAAUUCUUAGUGUAGGGGUGGAAUCUGUAGAUAUUAAGAAGAACAUCGGUGGCGAAGGCGGAACUCUAUCUGACAAUUGACGCUGAGGUGCGAAAGCGUGGGGAGCAAACAGG